rnacentral:rRNA from 1 species
AACGCGAAGAACCUUACCAGGCCUUGACAUGCACUAGACAGACGCUGAAAGGCGUUCUCCCUUCGGGGCUGGUGCACAGGUGCUGCAUGGCUGUCGUCAGCUCGUGUCGUGAGAUGUUGCGUUAAGUCGCGCAACGAGCGCAACCCCUGUCCUUAGUUGCCAUCAUUAAGUUGGGCACUCUAGGGAGACAAACCCUCUUUGAGGGUGGGAAGGUGGGGAUGACGUCAAGUCAGGAUGGCCCUUACGGCCUGGGCUGCACACGUACUACAAUGCCCGGUACAGAGGGAAGCAAUACCGCGAGGUGGAGCAAAUCCUCAAAACCGGGCCCAGUUCAGAUUGUAGUCUGCAACUCGACUACAUGAAGUUGGAAUCGCUAGUAAUGGCGCAUCAGCUACGGCGCCGUGAAUACGUUCCCGGGUCUUGUACACACCG